rnacentral:lncRNA from 1 species
GUUACUUGAAAACAAAUAUUUGGAGGCUACCACAUAUUCUUGAUUAUUGAGAGCCAGUGAAGAAAGAAAACAAAUAUCUGCAGUAAGAGAAAAACAUUGGUAAAGAAGUGAAGGGAUGUGCAGCCGGUUCUGUGGACUUCAGGAAUUUUGCAAUCAACUCUAAUGAGAUCUGGAUGCAGAGCUAUUCCGAGUUUCCUAUGGAAAUUUUACUGAAUUGCAUUUCAUGAGAUUCUGCUGUCUCCUGAUGGUAUUUGGCAUGGGCCUGCCUGCUUCCCUACAGGACUCAGAGCAACACAACUGUCCUGAGGUGGUCAUUUGCCCUCUUGCUCGGAAAGAAACAGGUACAGUUAAAGCAUUGUGAUACUUCAAAUGGGUGUUUCUUGAGAUAACAGAGAACCAUGGGAUAGAUCAUCACUUUUUUGGUUAAUAUUUCUUCAAAGUGUCACAAUGGCUCAAUGAGCGAAUGCAACAAGCUGUGGGAGCACAGCUGGCUUUUCAGGUGCUGGAAAUAGGCAGAGGGCGUCCACACUGUGUGAGGGUGCUUCCCCCAACGUCUGGGUUCCUUAAAGUGAAAUAAAGUUAAGAUUUGUUGGCA